rnacentral:rRNA from 1 species
GAGUUUGAUCCUGGCUCAGAACGAACGCUGGCGGCGCGCCUAACACAUGCAAGUCGAACGAGAGGCCCUUCGGGGUAGUAAAGUGGCGGACGGGUGAGUAAUACAUGGGUAACCUGCCUUUGAGAGGGGAAUAACCAGCCGAAAGGCUGGCUAAUACCCCAUACGCUUCCGGUCCCUCGGGUAAGGAAGGAAAGCCAUAUCGUGGAUGUGGCACUCGAAGAUGGGCUCAUGGCCUAUCAGCUUGUUGAUGGGGUAAUGGCCUACCAAGGCAACGACGGGUAGCUGGUCUGAGAGGACGAUCAGCCACACUGGCACUGAGACACGGGCCAGACUCCUACGGGAGGCAGCAGUGGGGAAUAUUGGACAAUGGGCGCAAGCCUGAUCCAGCAAUGCCGCGUGUGUGAAGAAGGCCCGCGGGUCGUAAAGCACUUUCAGCAGGGAAGAAAAUCCCGGAGCGAAUACCUCCGGGCCUUGACGUUACUUGCAGAAGAAUCGCACCGGCUAACUCCGUGCCAGCAGCCGCGGUAAUACGGGGGGUGCAAGCGUUAAUCCGAAUUACUGGGCGUAAAGCGCGCGUAGGCGGCUUCGUAAGUCGGAUGUGAAAUCCCCAAGCUCAACUUGGGAACUGCAUUCGAGACUUGCCAAACUAGAGUAUGGUAGAGGGAAGCUGAAUUCCCGGUGUACCGGUGAAAUGCAUAGAUAUCGGGAGGAACUCCAGUGGCGAAGGCGGCUUCCUGGAUCAAUACCUGACGCUGAGGCGCGAGAGCGUGGGUAGCAAACANGAUUAGAUUCCCUGGUAGUC